ACCUGUGUGGCUCAGUCGGUUAAGCGUCUGACUUUGGCUCAGGUCAUGAUUUCACAGUUCGUGAGUUUGAGCCCCACCUUGGGCU
rnacentral:tRNA from 1 species